GGGGGCGAACCGGAUUCGACGGGGAUAAUUGAAGCUUAGGUCGCAUACCGAGGUUCCAUCUGCUCGUAAAACAGGUGGGGUACAUGUAAACGCAGACGAUUAUGCGUAUGCACUAGCCGCAUAGUAGGCUAGCGUCCUAUCGGUCUUAGCCUGCGGGACCGAAUAGGGCGUCGACUUGCAGGCUAGCUGAUCCGCCUAACCUGUGGGACGGUGAAGCGAAAAAUAAUACAGGUUAGCCCCUCGGCACGCCUGCCCGGUUGCAAACCUUGGGGUGAAAAUUUUAUACCGGACUAAGUAUGUAGAAGCCUGAGUGGAAUAUUUUCGGACGGGGGUUCGACUCCCCCCGCCUCCACCA
rnacentral:tmRNA from 1 species